rnacentral:rRNA from 1 species
GACAGAGGGGGCAAGCGUUGCUCGGAAUUACUGGGCGUAAAGGGCGCGUAGGCGGGAUGGCAAGUCGGUCGUGAAAUCCCUCGGCUCAACCGAGGAACGUCGAUCGAUACUGCUGUUCUUGAGGAUUGCAGAGAGACUGGAAUUCCCGGUGUAGCGGUGAAAUGUGUAGAGAUCGGGAGGAACACCAAUGGCGAAGGCAGCUCGCUGGGACGUUACUGACGCUGAGACGCGAAAGCGUGGGGAGCAAACAGG